GCAGUAGCCGCGGGAAUACAGAGGGUGCGAGCGUUAAUCGGAUUUACUGGGCGUAAAGCGUGCGUAGGCGGCUAAUUGAGUCGGAUGUGAAAUCCCCGAGCUUAACUUGGGAAUUGCAUUCGAUACUGGUUAGCUAGAGUGUGGGAGAGGAUGGUAGAAUUCCAGGUGUAGCGGUGAAAUGCGUAUAGAUCUGGAGGAAUACCGAUGGCGAAGGCAGCCAUCUGGCCUAACACUGACGCUGAGGUACGAAAGCAUGGGGAGCAAACAGGAUUAGAUACCCCUGUAGUCCCUGUCUCUUAUAA
rnacentral:rRNA from 1 species